rnacentral:rRNA from 1 species
CGCUUGCGCGUCCCGCCGGCGACCGGCGCACGGGUGAGUAACACGUAUGCAACCUGCCCCCGCCAGGGGUACAACCCUCCGAAAGGGGGGCUGAUACCGCGUACAUCCCCUGGGGGCAUCCCCGGGGGAGGAAAGCCCUUCUGGGCGGGCGGGGAUGGGCAUGCGGCGCAUUAGGAAGACGGCGGUGUGACGGACCACCGUUCCGACGAUGCGUAGGGGUUCUGAGAGGAAGGCCCCCCACACUGGUACUGAGACACGGACCAGACUCCUACGGAAGGCAGCAG